UACGUAGGUGGCAAGCGUUGUCCGGAAUUAUUGGGCGUAAAGCGCGCGCAGGCGGCCUCUUAAGUCUGAUGUGAAAGCCCCCGGCUCAACCGGGGGAGGGCCAUUGGAAACAUGGGAGGCUUGAGUAUAGGAGAGAAGAGUGGAAUUCCACGUGUAGCGGUGAAAUGCGUAGAGAUGUGGAGGAACACCAGUGGCGAAGGCGACUCUUUGGCCUAUAACUGACGCUGAGGCGCGAAAGCGUGGGGAGCAAACAGG
rnacentral:rRNA from 1 species